rnacentral:rRNA from 1 species
AACGAACGCUGGCGGCAGGCUUAACACAUGCAAGUCGAACGCUCGUAGCAAUACGGGAGUGGCGGACGGGUGAGUAACGCGUGGGAACGUGCCCUGAGGUACGGAAUAACUGCAGGAAACUGCAGCUAAUACCGUAUGAGCCCCGCAAGGGGGAAAGAUUUAUCGCCUUAGGAGCGGCCCGCGUCGGAUUAGCUAGUUGGUGGGGUAACGGCUUACCAAGGCUUCGAUCCGUAGCUGGUCUGAGAGGACGAUCAGCCACACUGGGACUGAGACACGGCCCAGACUCCUACGGGAGGCAGCAGUGGGGAAUCUUGCGCAAUGGGCGAAAGCCUGACGCAGCCAUGCCGCGUGAAUGAUGAAGGUCUUAGGAUUGUAAAAUUCUUUCACCGGGGACGAUAAUGACGGUACCCGGAGAAGAAGCCCCGGCUAACUUCGUGCCAGCAGCCGCCGUAACAC